ensembl:lncRNA
CAUAUGCUGGUGUCCUUGCAGCCUCAAUGAAACCUCCCAUCCUGCAAGAUUUGGUUAGCUCAAGUACUCCCACCCUGGGAUGCUUCUUAAAAGAGCUAAACUGAUACUGUGAGACAGACGAGCAGACAGAUAGCAAGAAUAAGCAAGGUAAAUCUAAUCGCUUGAGACAUUUGAGACGUGAGUGGUAUUUAAUUUGUCCAUACCAUGGAACAUGACAAAAUAAAUUAGUAACAGAGGAAAAUAUUAUGCAGUGUCAUUAUGGGGUGAAGAUAUUUGUGUAUUUAGUUGAAGUACUGCCUAAUAUGAGUGCCUGAGAAUACCCAUUGCAGCUAUACGCAUUUUAAUAAUUUAAAUGUAUUUAUUUAAAUUCUUUUAACACUUAUAGCCAUUUAACAAUUGGUGUUUGUUUUUUAUCUUUUCUCUUUGGGAAUACAAGCAGUAAUCAUGUUUCUGUAAUAACCGGAAUAAAGUCUAGAGACAAGAACUCAGGAUUUGUGUUGUCAGUUAAAAGCUCUAUUAUAAAAAGGAGAAAAUAAAUUAUAGAAAGAAAACAAUGCUAUGUUCUCCGAAUCUAGUAUUUUUUCCUACAUCAAGAGAGCUGCAGUAGCAGAAAUUCCUGUUUUGACGCAAAAAGGAGAUUUGCAUGUUUGCUGACUAGGUACUGUGAGGGAAGCUGCAUGUUGCUCAAUUGGUCACAAGCAAGCAACUCGAUGGAUGAGAUACAGUGAGAGGAGGAACAGACUGAUGUGUUGCCUGUUUUCAUUCUAAUUGUGUCACAUGGAGUGAAUGAAGUUCUGUUUAUCUGUCUCUACAAAUGAAUGAGAAUGUUUUGUAAUAUUUGUGCAUUGGGUUCAUUAGAGGAAUCUUCACUUGUGUCCUUGCAGAGGAAGCCUGGCUUUGGCUGUUAUAGACAUCUGAAAGCUGGAGAAAUCAUAAUUUUACCACGCUUUUUGAAGGUGGCAUACAUUGCAUCUAGUUCUGAUUGAGAUUCGUGCUAGAAAAUAAAACUUCCACUCCGUCUGGAAUGUAAAAGAAGCCUUUCAAACUUGCAGUGUUUUUAAUAGAAAUUAAAUGAAUUAACUUAAGCUGGUACCUUACACAUGCAGGCAAAGAAUGGAUACCUAAAUAAUCUCAGUUUGUCUCUGCUACAGAUCUUGAUAAAAGGUUGGGCACAGGAUCACUGAAGAAGACCCCAAGUUGUCAAAAAAUGAUUGCAUGUAGUAUAUCUGGACUGUAGUAUAUGCAUGUAGUAUAUCCGGACUGCUAGAGAACAACAAAAAGACCUCUACCAAGCUACUGUUCAGGAGAACAGCCACAACAAACCAGUGCCAGUCUGCCAGUUCAGGCAACAGGCUUGCUUGCUGUGAGGAUAUUUGCCUUUCCCUAGCACCAAGAUCACCAACGGUUGAACAGACCAAAUACAGCAGAAGCCAGAAGAGAAGAACCCACAAAAAAAACAUCACCUUUCUCUUUUCUAAACAUAUGCAUAAGGGAAAGAUUAGGUUCAUCAUGUAAUAUUCAAGAGAGCUACAUGGGAAAUUCAUUUCCCAUAGCAACAGCUGUUUUAGAGGUUAGAGCAAGAUUAAGGAGAACUCAUUUUGUCCCUCUCUUGCUUUAAAUGAAUGGUUAUCUGCCAAACUAACAGGCCAAAACAGGCGUUUAUGUGAACACAAACAUCUCUUUGCAAAGAUUAUAUUAUUUCUGUGGUUAGGGUUUUCUUAUCUGAUAAUGGGCAGUCAUGUGCCAUACUGCAAGUUUCUGUGUAAUUACUGAUUCACCAUUUCAGUUCUUCAUGGUUAGCCAAAAAGGCCCAUAAGUAAGUAAAAAGGAAUGCAAAAAUGUUAAUAAUGUCAAGAUGUUAAACUUUGAUUUGUACCUAAAUCUGUUAGUAUAUGCAGUCCAAAUUAAAAUGUAAUAUCAGAUUUUCUGAAUUUGUUGGCUUUUAAAAAUCCAAUAAAAAUAAGUUUGUAUUAUAAAAGUGCUAUAACUCAAUUUUGAUCCUACCUCUAGCUCUGUUAAAAGAAAACUAGAGGGAAGUAAUGACUUCUACAAAUGAGAAAUUAUCAGAAAUUAUUAAAUAACACCUAAAAAUUUGUCAGGCAUAAAGGAGUGAAGAAAAAAGAUUUGACUUCUUUCUCUGCUCAAAGAUAUUAGAUGCAAAUCCUUAAAAGCUUAGAUAUUUAAGACCAACAGAGGGCCCAGACUCAUCUAUUUUUACCAAAGGAUCCUAAAUUAGGACUCAACAAAGACUUCCAUUAAAAGUCCUUCAGGGAAAAUGAGGGGUACCAGAAAAUGACCCCGUUUCCCUGAAAGGCUAAAUAACCUUCUGAAGGAGUCUGCCUGUUGCUAUUGGGAUGCUGGGAAGGAGAGCAACUCAAGGAGGCAAAAUUUCAAGUGGCUGUCUGCGCAGGAGUGGAUCAUGAGGAGUUCGGUGCCUCAACCCUUGUUAUAAGCAAGACCUCUGCUGUGUGGGAUGUGUCAGGUGC